CUAUGUAACCCAGGCUGGCUUCAAACUCGAAUCCUCUGCCUCAGCCUCCCCAGUAGGACUGUGGCACUACCCAACAAACAAACUGCUCAUUAGGCCUAGUCUUGACUGUGUUGACUGACCAGUCUGGUCUCAAGUCCUCUUCCUGCCUCAGCUUCCCAGCAGCCAGGCCUGCAAGUGUACACCACCACUCCCGGCUCCUGCAAGGUGGGACGCUCAGUUGCAGCUGCUGUAAAAACGUGAGCCUUGCAGGCUUUUCAACCGUGUGGUUAGCUGAAUUCAGCCUAAAUAUUUUGCUAUCAAAUUCCCUUGUCCAGGUAUCAGUUGGGUAGGAUAUGAUAGCACCUGGUCUUUUUUGGAAACUCAAAAGUUCAGUCAGCUAAUAUCUAAGGAAUACAUCCUGUUUACAAAGCAAAUUGGGAAACACAAAGACUCCAACUCUCUUUCCUCCUCUUCAAAAUGCUCCCGGCCAUCUUUUGCUGGCAUCUUGUCACCAUGUACAUCACAACGAGGCUCUGGGCUCUCAGCCCCUCUCUCAGAACCUGCAGAAGACAGAACUACCCUAUAAACAAGGCUCCUGUAGGUAGGAAUGGCCCAGGCAGUUCCCAGACACUAAGCUGGGAUUUGGGGGACCAAUGCUUCCCUGUGUCUUGAAACCAGAUUGAUCUUCUUGGACUUGGGACGAUGGGUUUGAGUGACUGUAGAUGGAUUAAGACAUUACUAGUCUUUUUCCUUUUAACUUAAGUGCUAUCGUUACAAGUGUGUGGAGUUGGGAGUCUUAAUUUGUUGGGGGUGGUGCCUUCAUGAGAGUGAGAACAUUGCAACAAGGAGUCUUCUUGCCAUGUUCACAGCUCCAGCUUUCUGGAGGCCAACGAAGAUGAGGGGCAUCAGGGAUGUGCAUCGCAGACUCUAGACACUUCCCCAGCCUUGGGUUCUGGCAAGGAGUCCAGGGGAGACCUGAACCUGUGCUGUGAGAAAGUCACAAAGUCACGAAGGCCAGUUCUAGAAGUUUCUAUGGCUUUGCUCUUUGGCCUUUAUCACGAGGAGAUCCAAAGCCCUCUUUCUCUGAGGACCGCCCUGCACUUUCUUUCUCUAGGGCAGUCUCUAGAAAAGCUCUAUCCUUGGGUCAACAGAGAGGUUCCCAGUCUGGCCUGCAGGCCUGGAUGGACAUCUCUGCCUCAGUUAGCCCUGUGUGUUAAGGAGUGCAGAGAACCAAACAGAAAAAAACUUUGACUGGGCCAGUUCCCUCACCUCUCUGUACCUGUUCAGGAAGCCCCAGACAGCAUACAUUCAAGUCACUUCCUUUUGCUAACUCAGGAAAUCUAUGUCAAAUGAAAAUAUGGUUUGUUUUCCUCGGCAAUCAAAAAUUCCUCAACAAGAGGAAUUUUGUCAUCAACCAGCAGACUCCAUUUGGAGUGGGUCACUUCACACAAAUCAGUCCUUGUCACAUGUCCCAUUUCAGUGACCUAGGAACAAGACAGGAUUGAGGGUUCUUCCCUUCCUUGUUCUUCCUUCCUGUUCCCAUGCUAAGCUCUGUGCCCUGCAGGCCCUGGCCUCUGAUAACUCAGGAGGACCUAGGCUUCCUGUCAGAGGGCAGGGGAGAGCUCAUGUGCACCCCUAGUGAAGGCAGAAGUCUUUCCAAGUAGGGGACUUGCAGGGAGCACCCUGUGGCCAGGGCAGCCUGCAGUCACCUUCCUGGAACAGUUUAAGGACAAUGCUGCCGGGUGGGGACAAUGCUGGGGACAAGAGGAGAAAACAAACACCAGGAGCACAGAUAGGGAUUCCCGUAUUUAGGUGAGCACCAGCCUGAACAAAGGCAGUUCUAGGGGUGCAGCUAACUACAAGGCAAGCUGAUAAGGGCUAAAAGAAGAAAGUUGGCUGCAUGAGGUAAGUGGUGGGUGGUUUGAGAGGACGCUGAGACAGGUUACUGGGAAUUAAAAGGUGUAUUAGAAGAGUUAGUAACACCAUGGACAGACAGGCAGGGGCAACAGCAAGGCAGGCUCUCUGAUAAGACCCAGCCCGAGUGUCAGAAAAGAGACUCUCCAUGGGGAGGCUCGACAGGAAGACCAGCAGCAGGCUCUGAUUCCUAAGCAGGAGGCAAGGAGACUCACCUCCAUGAAUGUCUGUUAGUCACAAGUCUCUGCAGUGUCAGCAGCUGUGAAAGGGAACAGCCUCUGAAAAAGCAGCAGCAGCUAGAUCCUAACAUUAGGUCCUUAUGGUUCUCCACACAGCCACUUGGCAGGGACCCUGCGGGGGGGGGGGUGUCCUAGCAAGACUUUACCCUAAACGGGCCCAUUCAGAAACAAAACUUUCCAAACAAAGUUUGCAGGUACGGGGCUAGGGCCCACACUGCUCUGCGUGUAUUAAAAGCUGCUAGGCAGCCGUUCUCCAUAAAUGCAGAAUAUAAGUGACCUCUGAGAAAGAACCAGUCACCAUGUAUAGAAGUGUCUGAGUGGAGAAAGGCAUACAGAAAAUAAAUGCAGAUGGUUUUUGGAACAGCAAAGAACAGUGCCAGCCACUGGCUAUCAGCCCAUGCAUCCCUUAACCCAGCCUAAUAACGUCAGGAUGCACAGGACCAGAAAGACACAUGCUGGACUAAGCCACUGUCAUAUACAGGGCCCACACACACAGCUGGCUUGAAGUGGAUCCAUGCUCGUUGUGACUUAAGUGUGAAAUGUCACCCAGAGGCUCGAGUAUUUCAACACUUGGUCUGUAGCUGGCAGUACUGCUUUGGAAAAUUGUGAAAUUUUCUGGAGCCAGAGCCUCUGUGGAGUCUGAGGGUCACUGGGGGCGGGACUUGAGGUUCUGAAGUUCCUCUGAUUUACUUCCCAGCUGUUCUCUGUCACGGACACCUGUGACCAGCUGCCUCAUGUUCCUGCCACCCUUCCCUUCCUACCAUAACAGACUGUGCCCUUUUCUAGACCUAAACAAACUUCCUCUGUGAAGUUGCCUCUUGUCAGGUAAAGAGAAAAGCAACUUCUAUAAUCACCUAGGCCAGCAGUGGCCAUGGGCACUGCUUGGGUCAGGCCUGUGCCCCAGGCUGCCCAAGGGGCAGGGAGUUUCCACAGCGGAGACUUGGUGCAAUACAGUGAGCUGUGCAGCUGUGACCUGGUGCCAUCAUGGGUAAACCAACCUUCAGAUACUUGGCAUUUUUUCAGUGUGUCUCACACCGGGUUCUGGAAGCUUCUAAAUCGAAAAGCCAGUGGUCAGGGAUAGGGACCUCUGACAAUACAGAACCAAAGAGAAACUCCAGGUGCAGGCCAAGGCCAUGCAGCAGAGGUAGAAGUCCAUAUUCCGGAAGGACAGGUGACAGAUGGGACAGUUUUUAGCAGGGGCUCUGACAGAGUCACAGGGAAGAAAAGGAGUCCUAAUAGGACUCCUAGUCUAUGCAAGUCUGGGAGGGUUGAGGUGCAUAGUGUGGCCAUCAGAGAUGUUCUAGAAGAUCAGACAGGAGGCUGGCAGUCGGGACUCAGAAGAUGGAAAAUAUUGAGCCUGAGAAUGUGCACAUGAUGAGGCACUCCUGCUCCAUGGAGAACACAGUAAAGCACUGCUGGAGCACCUACAACUGUGCGAUGACAAAAUUCACUUAUAUUCCAUCCCUUUCUCUUCUUUUAAUUUUCAUUUUUGUUUUUCAGGACAGGGUUUCUCUGUGUAGCCCUGACUGUCCUGGAACUCACUCUGUAGACCAGGAAGGCCUUGAACUCACAGAGAUCCACUUGGAUCUGCCUCUGUGCCACCCCCACUAAGCUCAAGUCUUUUCUUAUUCCCAUUUCUUGGUUGACAGGAGUGUUGAACCUUAAGGGACACUGGUGAAGUCCAAGGCACAUGAUGCUAUCAACUAUGUGGUCCCAUAGCAGUGAGUAUUUGAUGAUGUCUCUAACAAGAUUACCCCUGGCAGCUGACUUAGGGUGAUAUUGAAGACCUGUGCAGUCAAGCCUUCCUUCUGGUUGGUUACCCCCGGUCCCAUUCAACUGCCUGGGCAGCCGUCCUCUAGAAGCCCUUUGGUGGCAUUUGUCAGCAAAGUUACCUGUGGCUUCUCCUCCCCUCCUCUGUUCCCAUGCAGAGUUGAGAGCUGAUCUUCGGCUUAUGAAUGCAGGGCUAGCAGGCUUCCAAGAUCUCAGGUGUAUGAACCUAGCACCCCCUACUCCAGGCCAGAGCAUUCAUUCCACAGACAGCCAGGGGCAGGAGGCUGUGCCAGCUCUUGGCUCUACAAUGGUUUCCACGCAGGGCUGUAAUUAUGGGCCACGGUCACCUGGAGCAGCUUCUUUUUUUCCUGUGGAGGACUUAGCAACCGCUCACAGACAAACUAUCUGUGGGUCUUUAAGCCACUAACAGAUUCCCCAGGCACCCAGGUUCCAAGAGAGACACCCCCAUAUUGUAUAAUGGGUACAACUCAGUUAGGAAAGCUCUGCCCCUCUCAACUGUCCCUGGACCUUCAGAGUUGCACCUCCCUUCCUAGAACACAAAACCCUCCUCCUUCUCCUCUGCCUGACUACAUAAAACCUCUCCCUGCCCACGGGACCUGUGUGAAGACUCUCUCUGUUCUGCCCUUCGGACCGGAACACUCCUCAGAGUCCCCACCAUACUGUUUGCCUGUCUAUGGGGUUGUGGUCCAGACUUUCCUCAAACCCCUGCCAUGCAGCUGUCUGUCUGUAAGUCCAUAUGUCCAUGUCAUCAGUAACUCUUCUAAUAAACCUCUUAUCCAAGUGGACAGCCUGCUUCAGUUUCCCCCUUAAGUCCCAAACCUGAGACCUUUUCAUAAUGAGCUAAAGUUUAGGGUUGAACCUGGGCCUUUACAUUGAAUAACAGGAUCCAUAAUACAAACAGGAGCCUGAGGAGGUGACUGAAGCCCCACCCCCUCAGAAGUCCACGUCAGAGUCCAGUAGGAAAAUGCUAACUGCUGCCAGCUUCUCACCGCUUACCCUGGAAGAUCUGCAGUGGAUGGGGAAGAGGCAAGACCCUUUGUUACUGGUUCCUGUCUGGAAUAUGUGAUCAUGACACACCAUGGAGAAGACUGUGACAAUCGGUCAUGUAGGGACAACACCUGAAGCCCUUCCACAUGCAGAUGAGGCAUCCCUAACAUCUCAGACCAAACCCAUAGGAAGCAUUUAGACCCCAACCCACCCCAAGAUGUUUCUAAGCUCCUAUCCAUGAGGAAUAAAGUCAUUCACUGA
rnacentral:sRNA from 1 species